rnacentral:tRNA from 1 species
CGAAGUAGCUUAGUGGUAGAGCACUUCAUUGGUAAUGAAGAGGUCGAGGGUUCAAUUCCCUCUUUCGGC